CACUUAUCAAAAUAAAUGUGUUCUUCUAAGUCAUUAUUUGAGUUAUCCCCACUGACUAAGCCAUAAUGGAGAGACAUUGUUUUAGCCUUGAAACUCAUCUAAGUUUGAACACAGUAUACAUAUUUCUUGAAACUGUACAGUAUACAUAUUUCAGGAUCUUAAAAUACAGUAUUUGGCUGUUUGAUACACUUCACUUCACUUCACUUGGAAAGCAAUGAAGUUCUCUAGGUAUCUUUGAAUGACCAUAAUACACCUCUGUUCAGUC
rnacentral:lncRNA from 1 species